UGCGCGGACGCCGGUCAGCCGAUCCCUCGGUGGCUCUCCGGGGGUUGGGCGUGCCGUCGAUGAGGCCCGUGGCGGAUUGCGGGGCAGUGGAUUACUCUUCGGGCCCGUCAACGUACCAAUUGCAUCUGAAAAGGAGCUCGCAAACUGGAGGUGGUGGCCCACCUUUUACAGGCUUAACUGGCUGAGCACUCCUAAUAAAGCCGGGCCGUAUGAAUGUGUGUUUGACGCAGGCCCGGGUCAUUGUCUCAGGUAGCUGCCCCGGUACUUUAGAAACUCACAUUGUUUUCCCCUCCUGAGCCGUUUAGGCAGAUCAAAGCUCCGACAAAGCCCGGGGAAGCCCCAGGCAUUCGGAAACACAGGAGUUACCCCCCCCCCCCCCUCAGGAUUCCCACACAAAAAGACAAAUAGAGUAGCCCCAGAGGGUGGCCCCCGGUGGGACGUCUCCAUUCAGAGCCAGCCUGUUGUGGAGGCUCCAAUUGUUUUUUCCCUCAUUUCACAAUAUAUUGUUUUUUAAAUUGAAUGUUUUGUAACAUGAAAUCUCAAGCUUAGAACAAAAUAAUAACUUGACAUGUUUUUUUAGGUGUAGGAUUAACAUGUAUUCGCUCUUAUUUUCUUGUUUUUAUCAGUUGACAUGAAACACAAAAUAUCUAAUAAAUGUAUAGCAUCUCUUUUAUUUGUAAAAGUUUGAUUAGAGAACCGUUUAUUUCUCUGAGUCAAAGCGUAAACAUGGCUUGUUCCGUAGGUUUGUUUGAGCGCAGAAGCUGGUGAAUGAUUAGCAGAAAUAAUGUCCCUGUCACCCUUAAUCACAUUAAAACGUGGUUAAUAUUUAAUUUUUCCUACUUGAUAUGCAAAAAUUUCCACUUGAUUUGCAGCAGAGGCCAUUGGAAUUCCAUUAUAAAAAGAAUAAAAAUUUCAGGCAUCAUUUGUUCAGAGAGGGAUAUCAAGACCAGAAAGUGCUGAAUCUUUCUAUUAACCGAGCGGUGAGAGAUGGCACUCGGUGCUGGGACAUAAUAGGAGAGUGACAAGAGACACACACGCACACACACACACACACACACACACACACACAACAACCUUCCACACUGGAUUUGUUGUGUGGCCUAAACCCCCUUUAAAUGAUUUACAUUUACAAAUAUUGUUUAACAUAUAAGAUGUAUUUGUAAUGUUAACUUAUGUAUCUAAUCUUAUUCUCAAUUGCCUCUUAAAGGAUUUCAAUUUAAAGCCAAAAAGAAAUAUAACCUUUAAAAAGUCCAUUUUUUUAGGGCGGAGAUGCUGAUACAUUGAGCAGACUGUACCGUCGUUGAUGUCUAGAAACAUUAUUCUUGUCAACAUUUGGGUUUUCCCUGGAAAACACAUUUACAUGGAAACCUGUAAUGAUUUCGAAUUGUAUGAAUGACAAGAUAAAAAAAAAAGAUGCAGCAUGUUUUACAUAAACAUUUCUCCAAUUUAAACAUCCUCAUGGAAUUUCAACCAAAUAAUUGGAAAGGACAUAAAUACAAAUUGCAAAGUGGCGCGGGGCAGACAGCGGCAGGAGUUGACGGAGUCGCUUUCGGGCGCCGUGUUGACGGAACAUCAGAGCUCUUAAUUGACAGUGCUUUGUUUCUGGAGUUGAGAGAAGGGGGAGUUUCCGUGUCCCCGCGGCAAGGUGUUUGUCUGGUCCCGUGUCACUCAGUGCAAGGACCCAGAGACCCCCGCGCUCAUUUGCGGCUCACGUUCCCCCGUCUCGGGCUUCACAUUAUUAAAAUCAUCCCUCAGCCUUCUACCGAGAGCCUCUUUGUUACUUGGCUGGCUUGGCUCGGCUCUGUCAAGUCUUCACCAAUUACAGUCUCAGGUACAAUGGUCUAUUCAAAGGAUCACAGCCCUUGACUGGUGUGGAGAGAGUGAUUUGUGAAUCAUUAUUCAGCCGCCUGUAGAGUACGCAAUACCUGAGGAAUGCAAAUAACGUGCCACCAAAUAGACAGCUGUGCUGCUAAAAGUGACAAACUACAGCUGUUAUUAUCUCAGAUUGGAUUUUUUUUCCCCUCUCGGAGCGCCCGCCAUCUCCUGUUUUUUCGGCUUUUUGGGCUUUGACUAAAUGUGUUUUAUAUUUCUGUCCUUUUCAUUGGUGAGACAUUCUCUAGGGGAGACAUAUCUGAUGGCGUUGGCAGUCAAACAUCAGACAGAAAGGGAAAUAUUAGGUUACGGCGGUAUCUUAGCUGAUGUGCAUCUGAAGAGGCAUUUGGGGGCAAUUUAAAUGUAGCCUGUUGUAUUAUUCUGCCUUGUUGGGGGAAAAUUCCAGUCAAAGCAGAACUGUGCUUUUCCUGUCAUGUUGUGUAUUGAUAAUCAUUAGGUAGAAGCAGUGAUAUGGUUUUGUGGCUGAUAAAGUGGUGACACUGUUAUUGGAAGAGAUGUGGCACCGGGGUGGUUGGGUCCCUCCCGCUCUUUGAUUCUUAUGGGGCUUUUAAACAGGAAACUAGGAUUACAGGUAAUGACAGGGACCCCUCUGAAUCAAUCCGGCCUCGCAGCUCGGUCAGAGCCGCCGUGUGAAAAUGGAUUUGCGUGGUGCUGUUCUCUGAGACCUGCCCAAUCCCAGCCACAGCGCUUGUGUGGGGCUAAUCUCAUAAUUGCCCUAACCCCCUUGUAUUGUUCCGACCGAGAGUUAACAUUAAGCGCGAGGAUAUCUUUGUCCCGCAAUGUCAGGUGUCCCGCUGGACACGAAGACAAAAAAGAGAAUGACAAAGACAUUUAUGAGUAAGGAGAUACUUUGCAGUGAUGUUUUACUCCUUCCUGGCUUUAUGUUGCAUGUUUAGAUGUGGUGAAUGACGUCUAUUUGUUUGUUAAGCUCUGUGUGUCUUAUGAACUCAAACAUGCACAGUUUAAAAUACGUUAGUACAAUUCUGAUACUCUGCUGAUGAAAUGUUUUACAGCUACAGUUUUUUUUCAACAUGUGAUCAUCUUCUAAAAAGCAAUGCACCGCUUAUCUUAUGAUCAGCUUUGUUUCAAAUAUACUGAAUAUCUUCAUACUUUUGAAUGCAAAAUUUGGAAUUGCAAUUUUAAUGUUUGAUAUUGCUUCCGUUACUUUUAAAAUCUUUGUGGAUCCAUUCUCUUCAUAAUGAGAUAAUGUCAAGUCGGAUGUUUGGUCAAAGACUCUUAAGGGAAAAAAAGUCAGCUGAAAAGUCAAAUGUUCAGCUGCCCUCACAGCUAGGCAUGGCAGCAAAUACUUUGAUGGGAAUCACGUCCUCCAAUUGCUUUCUUGGCUGCUGAUUUUUUACCAGGUUGGUAGAAAUCAAGGAGUGGGUGGACAGUCGUGACCCCGGAGCCUUGGUCAUCCCCUUGGGCGGCAGCACGCAGGUCCAACUAUACAGGAGCUCUGCACAGAGCACAAGACACAGAGGUUAAUUAUCAUCCCGUCUCCCCACACUUUAUUAUCAGCUGUGUCCUCCAUGCACUCCUUUAAUUGCAUGUGCUGAUAGAAUAAUAAAUGGCAGAGUAAUUACCAUUAUAAAGCAAAGGAUCCCUCUUCUUACUGAACAACUCCGUCAAAGGGUUUUCCUCUAAAUUAAGUUUUUAACUGUCAUCUGUCAUCUGUAGGUAUAAUUAUAACUUGGGCAUUUUGGGUUUAUUGUUCGCGUGUGAAAACCUCUGUAGAGAGAAAGAUUGUGACAGCAGAUGUUUUUUUUCCCCUCUUGGUGCAGAACGAGGCAUCGUGUUGAAUUCUAAAAAAUGCUAAACGAGUCUCCGAGCUUUCUAAUUAAUCAAAGAAACCAUUGGAGAGUUAAAUGUCUGAUGUAAAACAAAGUGACCCAUCUUGUUCACUUAAUGGCUUCAUAUUGCAAUGAAUGGGGCCUUGCUACGGAAGGGGACUUUGUCUGUGCAUUUGUGGCAAUAAAUAAGACUUACGCAGUUUAGACCCCUCGGUUUGAAUUGGAUUGUCUCUCCAGCAGAGCCCUGAGAAAGAUCAUCAAGCCCUGCUGCAGGAGUACUUCAACGCGGGGCCCGAUGAGGUCCGUGCAUGGGCCAUUCGGAAAGGAACUAAGGCUCCACAGGCCGCAGGGAAGAUCCAGACCUUUGCGGAAGGGCUUCAUUAUGGCGGAAGUAAUGAAAUUCCCGGAUUUUAAAGAGGAAGGCAGUGAGAACGCUGUCGAGGCAGCAAGGGAAAUACACACAACAGGGCAGAAACUGUUGUUGAAGAUGGAGACAUCAUCUUUUUCAAGUUUUGCAACCCAAAUGCACCAAAGAAAAAGUGACGAAAG